rnacentral:rRNA from 1 species
UACGGAGGGUGCGAGCGUUGUCCGGAAUCACUGGGCGUAAAGGGCGCGUAGACGGCGCGGUUAGUCGGCGGUGAAAGCCCGAGGCUCAACUUCGGGUCGGCCGUCGAUACUGCUGCGCUGGAGCACUGUAGAGGCAGAUGGAAUUCCGGGUGUAGCGGUGGAAUGCGUAGAGAUCCGGAAGAAUACCGGUGGCGAAGGCGGUCUGCUGGGCAGUUGCUGACGCUGAUGCGCGACAGCGUGGGGAGCAAACAGG